GAUGAACGCUGGCGGCGUGCUUAACACAUGCAAGUCGAACGAACCACUGUAUUGGAUUUCCUUCUGGACUUAUUAGCUUGUGACUGAGUGGCGGACGGGUGAGUAACGUGUGGGUAACGGGCCAUGUACAGGGGGAGGACAGUAGGAAAGGGCUUCUAAUACCGCAUAAGCGUCCAGCAUCACAUGAGGCAUUGUGAAAAACUCCGGUGGGAUAAGAGGGACCCGCGUUGGAUUAGCAAGUUGGGGAGGUAACGGCCCACCAAGGCGACGAUCCAUAGCCGACAUGAGAGGGUGACCCGACACUCUGGCACUGAGCCGCGGUCCGAACUCCUACGGGAAGCGGCAGUGCCGGAUAUUGCAACACGGGCGAAAGCCUGAUGGUGCGACGACCCGAGAGCGAAGAAGUAUUUCAGUAUGUAAAGCUCUAUCAGCAGGGCACAUCUUGACGGUACCUAACCAAGAAGCCCCGGCUAAAUACGUG
rnacentral:rRNA from 1 species